GAAACAAUGUAGCAACUGUGAGGCGCUACACCAGUUACCCCACAUUGAGUGCGCCAAAACGGUAUUAUUGUUUGAAUUUCGUAUUAAAACUUACACAGCUUGAAAGAUGAGACUUUGUUUUUGCCAGUUUGGCGUGAGAUUUACAUGAUAGAAUUAAUCUGAAGUUCACGCAUUAACAGAACACAGCACAAUACAGAAUAAAAUAACAAGAAAUCAUGUUAAUAAACGAGAGUUAUUAAGGAUAUCGUUAUUAUAAACAGCCCUGAGCUGAGAGAACCAGAAGACUCCAUUCUGCGCGGACGAGCAGUAAUUACCUGUGAUCGAUUGAUUGAUUGAUUGAUUGAUUGGCGCCUGAACGCUGUUUGCGCGUGCACGGGUGUUCGGGAGCGCGCGUGUCUCCGCUGUGCUUAGUCACGCUGAGUUUCUGCUUUCUGUGAGUAUGAAACACACACACACACUCAGUGUGAGCUGCUGCGAUGAUCUCUUCUGAUUUAUUCAGACGGACAGUGAUGAUGAUGAUGAUGAUGAAGGCUUGUUUUGUUACAAAUGAGGAUCUGAUCAUUAUGAACAAAUUGAAAGCUAUUUCCGUCUAUCGCAGUGUGUUGUAUGUGGAUCUCGAGCAGUAAUAAAAGCAGCAAUAACACACUUUUACAGUAAUUACAAUCGUCUUAUAUUUUUCUCCACAUAUUUGUAAGUGUUGAGGUUUGCGACCGUGUGGAAUCGACAGUGUCUUUGAUUAAUCAUUUGGAGAUAAGGAAGGUUUGGCACGGAAUUGUUUACACGUCGACUGCAGCUUCAGAGUUCGUUCCGCGCCGCGGCGCUGCUGUGUGAGUGGCCGGAUUAAACUGCAGGACGCGUGUGAUCCCUGCUGUACUGCAGUCUGACUCUGUAAGAUACUUCACGAUCGAGAGACGUCCGGCCUUCAGUCUCAGACAGACAGACCUGCUCAGAAAGACUCCCUUUGAGGAAAACACUCAAAUAUGUGAGCGCCAGAGCGGUUGGAGAGUUCUCAGCUGACGCGAGCGUUUGUGUCUGUGCUCCUCCUGGUUCAUGAGUAAUCUGUCUAAACCGAUCCUCUGCCAGAUCUAACCGAGCGGAGGAAUCCCUAAAGAGCAGUGACCGGCAGACGCGUGAGGAUGAGCAGGAGCUCCGCGUGCGCUGCGUUAUAACGUCUGAUCUGAAGGAGCCGCAGGUUGAAGAGCGUCCCGUAGGUCUCUGCCGUCUCACUCCUGCGCUGGCGAGCGAGGAUGCGCGGG
rnacentral:lncRNA from 1 species